rnacentral:rRNA from 1 species
GAUGAACGCUGGCGGCGUGCCUAAUACAUGCAAGUCGAGCGAACAGACGAGGAGCUUACUCCUCUGACGCUAGCGGCGGACGGGUGAGUAACACGUGGAUAACCUACCUAUAAGACUGGGAUAACUUCGGGAAACCGGAGCUAAUACCGGAUAACAUGUUGAACCGCAUGGUUCAACAGUGAAAGACGGUCUUGCUGUCACUUAUAGAUGGAUCCGCGUCGCAUUAGCUAGUUGGUAAGGUAACGGCUUACCAAGGCAACGAUGCGUAGCCGACCUGAGAGGGUGAUCGGCCACACUGGAACUGAGACACGGUCCAGACUCCUACGGGAGGCAGCAGUAGGGAAUCUUCCGCAAUGGGCGAAAGCCUGACGGAGCAACGCCGCGUGAGUGAAGAAGGUCUUCGGAUCGUAAAACUCUGUUAUUAGGGAAGAACAAAUGUGUAAGUAACUAUGCACGUCUUGACGGUACCUAAUCAGAAAGCCACGGCUAACUACGUG